GAUGAACGCUGGCGGCGUGCUUAACACAUGCAAGUCGAACGAUGAAGCCCAGCUUGCUGGGUGGAUUAGUGGCGAACGGGUGAGUAACACGUGAGUAACCUGCCCUUAACUCUGGGAUAAGCCUGGGAAACUGGGUCUAAUACCGGAUAGGAGCGCCUACCGCAGGGUGGGUGUUGGAAAGAUUUAUCGGUUUUGGAUGGACUCGCGGCCUAUCAGCUUGUUGGUGAGGUAAUGGCUCACCAAGGCGACGACGGGUAGCCGGCCUGAGAGGGUGACCGGCCACACUGGGACUGAGACACGGCCCAGACUCCUACGGGAGGCAGCAGUGGGGAAUAUUGCACAAUGGGCGAAAGCCUGAUGCAGCGACGCCGCGUGAGGGAUGACGGCCUUCGGGUUGUAAACCUCUUUCAGUAGGGAAGAAGCGAAAGUGACGGUACCUGCAGAAGAAGCACCGGCUAACUACGUG
rnacentral:rRNA from 1 species